UGCCUAUAUCGGCGGUGUCCACCUCUUCCCAUUCCGAACAGAGAAGUUAAGCCCGCCUGAGCCGAUGGUACUGCGGUAACACGUGGGAGAGUAGGUCGGUGCCUAAA
rnacentral:rRNA from 1 species